CCUACGGGGGGCUGCAGUGGGGAUUAUUGGACAAUGGGGGCAACCCUGAUCCAGCCAUGCCGCGUGUGUGAAGAAGGCCCUCGGGUUGUAAAGCACUUUCAGUGAGGAAGAACGCCUGGUGGUUAAUACCCAUCAGGAAAGACAUCACUCACAGAAGAAGCACCGGCUAACUCCGUGCCAGCAGCCGCGGUAAUACGGAGGGUGCGAGCGUUAAUCGGAAUUACUGGGCGUAAAGCGCGCGUAGGUGGCUUGAUAAGCCGGUUGUGAAAGCCCCGGGCUCAACCUGGGAACGGCAUCCGGAACUGUCAAGCUAGAGUGCAGGAGAGGAAGGUAGAAUUCCCGGUGUAGCGGUGAAAUGCGUAGAGAUCGGGAGGAAUACCAGUGGCGAAGGCGGCCUUCUGGACUGACACUGACACUGAGGUGCGAAAGCGUGGGUAGCAAACAGGAUUAGAUACCCUGGUAGUC
rnacentral:rRNA from 1 species